rnacentral:rRNA from 1 species
UACGUAAGGUGUAAGCGUUGUCCGGAAUUAUUGGGCGUAAAGAGCUCGUAGGCGGUUCGUCGCGUCGGCUGUGAAAACCCGGAGCUCAACUCCGGGCCUGCAGUCGAUACGGGCGGACUAGAGUUCGGCAGGGGAGACUGGAAUUCCCGGUGUAGCGGUGAAAUGCGCAGAUAUCGGGAGGAACACCGGUGGCGAAGGCGGUUCUCUGGGCCUGUACUGACGCUGAGGAGCGAAAGCGUGGGGAGCGAACAGG